rnacentral:rRNA from 1 species
GCGUCCGAUUAGCUUGUUGGCGGGGUAACGGCCCACCAAGGCUACGAUCGGUAGGGGUUCUGAGAGGAAGGCCCCCCACAAUGGGACUGAGACACGGCCCAUACUCCUACGGGAGGCAGCAGUGAGGAAUAUUGGUCAAUGGGCGGAAGCCUGAACCAGCCAUGCCGCGUGCGGGAAGGAGGCCCUAUGGGCUGUGAACCGCUUUUGCCUGGGGGCAAUAAGGGCGUCGCGCACGUCCGAUGAGAGUACCAGGCGAAUAAGCAUCGGCUAACUCCGUGCCAGCAGCCGCGGUAAUACGGGGGAUGCGAGCGUUAUCCGGAUUCAUUGGGUUUAAAGGGUGCGUAGGCUGUGCGUCAAGUCGGGGGUGAAAUUCCGGUGCUCAACACCGGGGCUGCCCUUGAUACUGUCGCGCUGGAGUGCGGAUGCCGCCGGAGGAAUGAGUGGUGUAGCGGUGAAAUGCUUAGAUAUCACUCAGAACACCGAUUGCGAAGGCAUCUGGCGAAUCCGUAACUGACGCUGAGGCACGAAAGCGUGGGGAUAGAACAGGAUUAGAUACCCUGGUAUUCCACGCCGUAAACGAUGAUGGCUAACCGCCGGCGACACACUGUCGGUGGCCAAGCGAAAGCGAUAACCAUCCACCUGGGGAGUA